AGACGCCCAUGGAGAAGCCAGGCGAGAACACGAGCACCCAGCGUGUGCUGUGGAGGUGGGUGUGGGUUGCAACCCUCUGCAGGCGCUAGGGAAGGGCAACGGCAUUAACUUCCAUGCGCUGGGUCUGACUUGAUGAGGGAGAGUCUCCUGGGCCUUGUUACCACAGUCAGCACAGACCACAUAUGUGGCCCUCUCCCGAGGCCUCUCUUUCCCUGGGGAGCCUGCAAAGUUCUUUUCUUGUCUGGAACAAAUAACUGGGGAGUCAGGCUGGGGUGAGAGGAGAAUGUGGGGACCCAGAUUCCUAGGGAUUAAUUAAGGCCCUGCAGUAUGAUCUGCUUCCCCUUUGGAGGCCAAUUAAGGAGCUGGAAGCUUGGGAGGUGGGAAGAGGGUAGGUGAAUGUGUGGCGUGCUUGAGACAGUCCCUUUGGGUCCUCCACUGAAAAUGGGUAGACCUCAGGGACACCCUGUCCAUUUACAGCAAAAAGUAAAGAUAAUCACAGAAUUGUUUGCAUCAUCUAAGAGCAGGACUCGAGUAUUGCACCGUAUGAAGCUCACUGUCAUCAUUUCAGAAAUCACCCUCAUCUCCAUAGUAACUGUCUUGUACUGAAUAUUCAUGGGGGGCCAGGCCCCAGGCUGGGUUUUCUCAGUCAUGAUCUCAUAUUUUACAAAAGUUAUGUUGAAAGACAAUUCAUAUGCCAUAUAUUUAACCCAUUUAUCCAUUUUAAGUGGUCUUUAGUAUAUUUCUAGAAUUGUGCAACCAUUGCCCACAUUGCUUUGAGGAUACCCUCAUCAGUCCCCAAAAGACAUCUUUAGCAGUCGCUUCCCUUUUCUCCCUAACCCACUCCACCC
rnacentral:lncRNA from 1 species